UACAGAGGUCUCAAGCGUUGUUCGGAUUCAUUGGGCGUAAAGGGUGCGUAGGCGGCGCCGUAAGUCAGGUGUGAAAUUCGGAGCUUAACUCCGAAACUGCAUUUGAUACUGCGGUGCUUGAGGACUGGAGAGGAGACUGGAAUUUACGGUGUAGCAGUGAAAUGCGUAGAGAUCGUAAGGAAGACCAGUGGCGAAGGCGGGUCUCUGGACAGUUCCUGACACUGAGGCACGAAGGCCAGGGGAGCAAACGGG
rnacentral:rRNA from 1 species